rnacentral:rRNA from 1 species
GAUGAACGCUGGCGGCGUGCCUAACACAUGCAAGUCGAACGAAGCACUGUCGAAUGAGGAUUCGUCUGAAUUUGGCUUUGACUUAGUGGCGGACGGGUGAGUAAUGCGUGAGCAACCUGGCCUUUCAGAGGGGGACAACAGUUGGAAACGACUGCUAAUACCGCAUGACAUAUUGAGAUCGCAUGGUUUUAAUAUUAAAGAUUUAUCGCUGAAAGAUGGGCUCACGUCUGAUUAGUUAGUUGGUGAGGUAACGGCUCACCUAGCCGACGAUCAGUAGCCGGUCUGGAGAGGAUGAACGGCCACACUGGAACUGAGACACGGUCCAGACUCCUACGGGAGCAGCAGUGGGAAUCUUCCGCAAUGGACGAAAGUCUGACGGAGCAACGCCGCGUGAACGAUGACGGCCUCGGUGUAAG